rnacentral:rRNA from 1 species
GUGACAAGAAAUAACAAUACAGGACUUUUUGGUUUUGUAAUUGGAAUGAGUUAAGUAUAAACCCCUUUACAAGUAUCAAUUGGAGGGCAAGUCUGGUGCCAGCAGCCGCGGUAAUUCCAGCUCCAAUAGCGUAUAUUAAAGUUGUUGCAGUUAAAAAGCUCGUAGUUGGAUUUCUGUUAAUAAUUUAUAUAAAAUAUUUUGAAUAUUUAUAUAACAUUAACAUAAUUCAUAUUACUAUAUUUUUUAGUAUAUGAAAUUUUACUUUGAGAAAAUUAGAGUGCUUAAAGCAGGCAUAUGCCUUGAAUACUCCAGCAUGGAAUAAUAUUAAAGAUUUUUAUCUUUCUUAUUGGUUCUAAGAUAAGAAUAAUGAUUAAUAGGGACAGUUGGGGGCAUUUGUAUUUAACAGUCAGAGGUGAAAUUCUUAGAUUUGUUAAAGACAAACUAAUGCGAAAGCAUUUGCCA